AGUACUUGCGGACGAAAAGAAGAAGGCACAUAAUCACAUUUGGCUAGUGUCCAAGUUGUAGUUUCAUGCACUUGUCCGACAAACCCUUGACAUAAGCUCAUUGGAACUGGGCGCCACAGCGGGUUAGAGUCCCACGUGUGGCCUGUUGGGAUUUGUGAAAGGGGUGCUUUGAUUGAGUUGCACUUCUUUGGAAUGGGGUGUGAAUCUGGUGGUACGUGUCACCCAAUGCAAAGCGAUGCUGGGACUGAUAGUGAACAAGUACCAUGAGGGAAUGGUGAAAAGAACUUUGGAAAGAGAGGCAAGCAGUGCAUGUGAUUUCAGUGGGCAAAGGGAGUUUGAUUGAUGACUUGUUUUCUGACUGCACUGCCUGCAUGCAUGUUGUGCAGUUAGAACUGCAUUGUGCGUCAAGCAGUGUGCUUCUGAUUUUGCGUGUCCAAAUUGUGCUCGUUUGGAACACUUCCUUGGUGAGGUCAUGUUCUUGUGCUUGGCUUCAUUGACAGUCAGUACCCAACGUACGCAAGUGUCGUGUUGUGAGAACAUGAGGCUCCAGGACCUGUCAUUGAAACCUCGCCCGUCUUGAAACACGGAUCAAGGAGUCUGGUGUGUGUGCAAGUCAUAGUGUUGUAGACCUCAGGGCGGAGAGAGGUUGUUUGCUGGCACAUGCUGCCCCAGCGCCCAACAACAAGGAUGGAACCUUGAGUUUGAGCGCAUGCAUCUGGACCCGAAAGGUGGUGAACUAUGCUUGUGAGAAGUAAAGUCAGAGGAAACUCUGAUGGAAGCAUGCAGUGGUACUGACGUGCAAAUCGUUCACCUGACUUGGGUGUAG
rnacentral:rRNA from 1 species